rnacentral:rRNA from 1 species
ACGCCGCGUGCGGGAUGACGGCCUUCGGGUUGUAAACCGCUUUUCGGGGGGACGACCCUGACGGUACCCCCGGAACAAGCCCCGGCUAACUCUGUGCCAGCAGCCGCGGUAAGACAGAGGGGGCGAGCGUUGUCCGGAGUCACUGGGCGUAAAGCGCGCGCAGGCGGCAACCUAAGUGUCGUGUGAAAGCCCCCGGCUCAACCGGGGGAGGCCAUGGCAAACUGGGUCGCUCGAGCUGCGGAGAGGCCCCUCGAAUUGCCGGUGUAGCGGUGAAAUGCGUAGAGAUCGGCAGGAAGACCAAGGGGGAAGCCAGGGGGCUGGCCGCAGGCUGACGCUGAGGCGCGACAGCGUGGGGAGCAAACCGGAUUAGAUACCCGGGUAGUCCACGCCGUAAACGAUGACCACUCGGCGUGUGGCGACUAUUGACGUCGCGGCGCGCCCUAGCUCACGCGAUAAGUGGUCCGCCUGGGAACUACGAGCGCAAGCUUAAAACUCAAAGGAAUUGACGGGGGCCCGCACAAGCAGCGGAGCGUGUGGUUUAAUUCGACGCAACCC